rnacentral:ncRNA from 1 species
UCGCGAGAGUUGCGCGGUGGGCUCUCAUAUAACCGUCUAGUCUCUUCCUUUCACGAGCCAAAAAGAAGGAAGAGGCAACAUCCUCAAAUUGCGGGAAACUCCUUAGAGCCUCAACUACCGCUUCUCGAAAGAGUUGCACCAAGCGUAAUGGCGUGGGUAUGGUAAAAAUGUUGAGGAUUGGACAAUCCGCAGCCAAGUUCUUCGAAAGAAGAAAAGGUUCAGAGACUAAAAGGGGAUGCGUCUUGUCAUCAAGGCGUAAGAUAUAGUCCACUCCAACCAGAGAUGGUUCU